AAGAAUGAUCCGCAAGGUGGUGGCCUUGUCUGAUGUUAAAUCCUUCAGGUCUUCUUGAUUCUUUUCUUCAUAGUAUCCUCUAUCUUCCAAGAACUUCACAUCUCUAGAUACAAGAACUCUCCUUGCUAUAGGAUCAUAGCAUUUGUAUCCUUUCUGUGUAGCUGAGUAUCCUAUGAACACAGCCUUAGUGCUUCUUGCUUCUAGCUUGUUGAUCAUCUCUCCUGGUUUGAGUACAAAGCAUAGGCACCCAAAGACUCGCAAAUAAUCAAGGGCUGGCUUGUACCUGUUCAGAACUUCAAAUGGAGCCCUCUCAUUCAGAACUUUGGUUGGGGUUCUGUUUAUCAGGUAACAAGCAGUGGCAACCGCAUCACUCCAAAAUCUCUUUGGAACAUUACUCUGAAACAUAAGUGACCUUGCCACUUCCAUGAGAUGCCUAUUCUUCCUCUCAGCCACUCCAUUUUGCUGUGGAGUAUAAGGACAGCUUGUUUGAUGUAGGAUC